CUUCAACCAGCAUGAUCCUUCACAGAUGACAGACCAUCGUUGCAACCUAAAAAACGGAUGGACAAAUUUCGCCCUCAACAAUGGCAUAAAGCUCCACACAGUAUGCAUUUUCCAUUUUUAAGACUACCCAUCGAGGAGCAACCGUCGAUAUCUUCUGAAUAUGCUAUCAAUGUAGUCUGAUCUCAUUCUUUUGUUAGCGGCAAAGCUCGGUGUCUCCAUACAGUCUGCUGUUUAUGUAAUAUACUGCCCAUGUUAUAAUCGUUACCCCUGUGCACUAUAGACACGCUGUGGGCACUGCACUUAUCACUCUAUUAUGGCACUUCCAUAUGUAGCUACUGAUGCAGACACCGAUUAACCUCCAUGCCUAUGUAUGCACUAUUCACUGCCUUAGCUGUAGAGUCCCGGUAUCCUUCCCUCGAUGCUUAUUACCUUUUUGGGAUCAUUAGCUAUACAUACUGUCCUGUAUUUACUGCCUUUGCCUCUUUAAAAUGGUUGGUUAUGCCUGUGCACAUCCUUGCUGCUUCGCCCAGGGUCCCCAGGCGGCGCGCCAUUGGCGCGCCCAACCCUCUAGUAAUAAAUAAUGAGGGGAGAAAGCUAAAGAAGAAAGUCACCGCCGCUGGAUUGGUGGGGCGAUUGGGGAGCAGUUGUUCAAUGUUCAUCAGCUUACAAUUUGGCUGGAUUGAAUCUAUCGUCAUCCCGGGUGUCACUGUUGGUGAUAUGGCCUAGAGGCAUCAUGACAUACAGUGGGGGACAGUCAACCCCUGAUCAAGUGGUAUGUCUUCAUCUCCUGGUGAAUGGCGCUCAAGUUCCUCUCGUUGAGGCUUGGGUGAAAUCACCAAGAGAAUGGAUACCCUUGAUAUACCUCUAGGUGAAUGGUGCUCUACUUCCUCUCGAUGGGACUUGGGUGAAAUCACCAGGAGAAUGGAUACCCUUGAUUUGUAGAAGAGAGAGAUCCAAUAUAACCUCGCGGAACACAUAGCACAGACGCAAGAAUGGCAAUAGAUUGUUGAUGCUCAGUUCACCAACAUCAACAACAUGAUGCAGCAACAACACGAUGACCUGCAAGCAUACUUCCGCUUUCAAGGGUUUAAUCGUUACCAAGGACCUUGGGUGAAAGCCAAGCUUGGGGAGAGAUCUCUCCCCCUACUAAGGUACUUCUCAUGUUAUGCGAUCAAGAUCAUACACUCAUAUAUAUGUACAUGCUAAACUCCUACACUAGAAGCAAUUAUUCAUUUCAUUUUCAUACUACCCCCAAAAUAAAUUAUCCAUGCUUUUAUGUGAUUUCUUCUCCUAAAAAGAAAAGUUCUUUUUGAAAAGAAAAAACAAGAAAAAAAAAGGAGGGAAAGGCAUAGUUAUGAAAAAAAAUAUAAUAAUAAAGUUAUGCUCUCACAAGCAUGAGCAUGAUAUUGAAAAUUUAGCCAUGCCCUCUCAUUAUUAAUAAAAAAAGGAUUUUUGGCAGAAGGAAGUAAGCACAAAGGAUAAGCAUUUUCUUUAUCUUUCUUCAUAUUCCAUUUCCACCAUAUAUCACACCCACUUUGCACGUUCUUGAUCUUGAGUAUGUUUAGUCAUCUACUUUAGUCCGAGUUUUUGACUUAGUAGUAAAUGUGAAUGCAAGUAUACCAUGUUUGAUCGCUACCAAGCUCCACAUAUCAAACCCUAGAGUAGGAAUCAAAAAGGCAAAAAUGGUGAGGAAUUCAUAUUGAUACACUUGGAGAGGCUGAGUGAAUCAUAUGAGGAACUUGGAUUUCUUUUGCAAAAUCAUUUGAAAACUUUCGGAAUAAAAGUUGAAUAAAGACUGGGUGAUUAGUGCUCUAAUUGUUAUUCUGUCUUUCAACCGCCCAAGGCAAGGAGAAGCAGUGUCUCAUGGGAAUUAAGGGUAAGGGUAAGCCACCGUGCCAAAGAUUAUUUAAUCUGAGAGAGAGUACAUAUACCUUGCACCUUACCUUUGAGAUAUACAGCACAAUAGCAACUCCUGAUCAACAACCAAGUUUUUGUUCCCUUUUGUCCUGAUCAACAACCAAGUUUUUGUUCCCUUUCGUUCUUUACUCGGGACGAGCAAAGGUUCAAGCUUGGGGGGUUUUGUUGAUGAUCGUUAGCAAUCAGUUUCGACCGUCAAUAUUACCAAAAUAGAGGAGAACUAGUUAUAUUUGCAAUGCAUAUCCAUGUUAGAAUAAUAAUAUUCCACUAGUAUUUGGAUCACUAACCUUUUGUAGAGAAUAACCAUAAAAUGGAGAGAAAUCGACAUCAAACCAGACGAUAAAUCAAUCGGACGAUGUCGAGGGUCAGACUUAUGUAUGAAUGGGCCAAGAACUCAGAAAUGACGCGACCAAUUGGGCCAAAGUUCACAAGUCUGCAGAGAGGAGAAGUCCAGGAGGCCGCCAGUUGAAAAUGGGCUGAAUUGAACUAGCCCAUGGUUCGGCCGAACCAGGGGAUUCAGCCGAACCCCCAUCUGCUCCGUUGGAUGCAGGGUUGGCGUGGACAUCCAGGAUUGCUCCCCAAUGAUGGUUAGAGGGCAUUUCCGACCAUUCCAACUGCCAUAACCGUCAUUGGGAGGCUAUAAAAGGACUUCACUUCCUCACUCUCUUCACACACCUCAAGCAAGAGUUCUCUCAUAUUCUCUCAAGUUAGUUUAGUGUUCUCAAGCUAGUGGAAUAGGAAUAGAGUAUAAAUCGGAGUCCGAAAGCCUUCGAAAGAGUUCGGGUAUGGCUCCUGUAGCUAUUCUCUUCUCUUUUGUAAGCUUUGUAAUUUUAUUAGAAUACUCUUUUUUCUACAUUUAUGGUAUUGGAAUACUUUCCGAGUA